UGGGGAAUCUUCCGCAAUGGACGAAAGUCUGACGGAGCAACGCCGCGUGAGUGAUGACGGUCUUCGGAUUGUAAAGCUCUGUUAAUCGGGACGAAUGGUUUGUGUGCAAAUAGUGCAUAGACAUGACGGUACCGGAAUAGAAAGCCACGGCUAACUACGUGCCAGCAGCCGCGGUAAUACGUAGGUAGCAAGCGUUGUCCGGAAUUAUUGGGCGUAAAGCGCGCGCAGGCGGACUAGCCAGUCAGUCUUAAAAGUUCGGGGCUUAACCCCGUGAUGGGAUUGAAACUACUAGUCUAGAGUAUCGGAGAGGAAAGUGGAAUUCCUAGUGUAGCGGUGAAAUGCGUAGAUAUUAGGAAGAACACCAGUGGCGAAGGCGACUUUCUGGACGAACACUGACGCUGAGGCGCGAAAGCCAGGGGAGCGAACGGG
rnacentral:rRNA from 1 species